rnacentral:misc_RNA from 1 species
AAAAAGUAAAAAAAAAUAAUUAAAAAUAAUUUUAAAAAAUCUACUUGAUUUAAUCAACUAAAAAGGUAGGUGCUAAAUGUUGUAGCCCCAAAAAUGCCCUCUUUUAUGGUAAUCAUCCUUAAUAAGAUGUAUGCCUGGUGAAUAAAGACAGAAUUAAAGCACCACUUAGAUUUUUUUGUUUUUUUUGGGCCUUCAAUUAGACUUAAUAUGGCUCGUCCAAAAUCAAGUCAAAUGGUCAAAGACUUGGUCAAAUAGUCUAAUAGUCAACAUAGUAGACAGAGGGUCAUUUGGUCAAAAGGCCUGGUCAAAGGGUCAACCGGAUAAGAAAACCUGUCAAAGAGACAAGAUCAAGGGAUCGUUGGAAGUUCAAACCGGACAACAGAUGGCUUUGAACGCAUGAUAGCCACCCUAGCCAUCCGAUGUUCAGAUGCCCGAACUCAUGAUCCAAGCAUCAGCGUACCAUGCAUCAGUUAUGUCCAAGCAUCAGCAUACUGAGCACCAAGUGCCAAUAGAAGAGGAAGGAUUAGAACGUGCAACUGGUAACAGCCAUGCUCACCAAAAAUCUCAGGAUCACAACCGAACAACCAGAGAUUCUCGGAACUACCUCCAACGGUCAUUUGAAGCUCUAACCUAUUUAUAUUGGAAGAAGGCACAUAUUUACUCUGCUAAAAUCUCUAUUGAGUACAAACACUCACAAUCAAACUCUAACUUGAGCGUCGGAGUAGCUGGUUAAUAGGCCACCGACCUCACCUUUGUUUUCUAUGUUUCAGAGCCAAGUCAUCAUCAAGCUGAUCAAAGGACUCUCACGACAGCAUCAAGACUGUAUAAUGAAAAGUAACCCUGGGAUUUAACCUAAAACAAACAAUUUACAGGAGGAAAGGGGCUCAAACUUCAAAUUAAGGGGAGGACUAUCCUUAUUGUGUCAUUCAUCAAUGGAACAAAGAGAGAGAGGGAGAGAGAAUUGCAUUAAAUAGUUGCAAAAUAGUUGAUGACACACUUAAAGGCUUUUUACCAUUUCAGAACCUUGCCAAAUCUCCUCUUUUACUACAUUAAAUGAGAUUCAUUAAUAACAUCAGGGACAAAAACCACUACAUCUCUUUAAGCUGUCUUCUUUGACAACUUCAUGUUAUUUGUGAUUACUCGGAAGUGAAAAGCACAUUGAAUCAUAGCUUUUAUAUUUCAGUAAUUUUCGCAAUGCAUAGAAUCACCAUUUUUUUAUACCAGUGUACUGAUCCCUUUCUAUUUACUAUAAUUCAUAUAUUAUGUUUUUUUAUGGGAAUUCAUAUGUUAUGUUAAAAUUCAUUUGUAAUACAAACUUCACCCACACAAAGGACACAUGCUAAAUUUUCGUAAGGUUGAAAUGACAAAAGGAAAUUGGAAUUAGAAAGCACAAACUUCCGUCUCAAAACAAAUCAAUCAUAUUAUAGAAAAAGGUAACCUAUGAAAUUCUAUAAAACAUGCAAUACAAAGAUAUGUUCAGCAAAGUAGUUAUGGUGAGAGACUAUAGUCAAACCUGCAAAUUUGAAGAAUUGAAGGCACCCAAGCGCCCCAUAACAUACCAUGACUGGAUGGCACUGCCAAUAAGAUCAACAUCCCGAUCAGAUGGAGAUCCAUAUAACUCAAACCAUAUAUAGGAAUCCACAGGAUUGAAGCUGUCAGGAACGAGAAAAGUUAAAAGUUAUGCAUGAAACAGUCCAGAAGGAUGUUAGUUGCUCCCUACAGCAAGUUUUAGAAAUCCUAUUUUGUUUUUCUGCCUUUUACUAUUUUGGAAGCCAAAAGCCAAAGUCCAAUGUUUGGUUAAACAAAAAGCAAAAUUAUUGCUUUCAGUGAAAAGGGGGGAAAAUCAAUUCUUGUAAUUGCCUUUUCCUUCUCUCAUAUAAAGUUAAGUGCAUACAUUUAUCAAGUAUAGUUUCUUCUUAUUACAUUUGCUUUCUAGCCAAGUCAAAACUUGUAUAAGCUACCUUUUGGGAAGCAAAAGAUAAAAGGUAAGCUAACCAAAUGAAAUCAACAAUAAAAUAAAAACAAUAUUAAGGCUCAUUAUUGAUUAAAUGAAGUUAGUACCAGCAUAGUACUCAAGACAAGAGGCCUGGGAUAAAGCUUCUUGAUCAUGACCACUCACUUUAUCAAUUUCUUGUUCAAUUAACUUGUAAAAGGCAAAAGGACAGAAGAUGCCCAGAACAAUGUUUCGGAUACACUGAUAAGCAACAAUGUAGUCAAUAAUGAAAUGUAACAUUCUGACAUUCUAAGAAAAACGGGGAGGCAUCCUUGACAAUUAAUGCCACUGCCACAAGCCCACAACGAUCACCUCAUACUAAUCCCACAGAUCUGUACAAAGAUGAUAACUACAAGCUCAUAGACAUUAAAGGCAUUUGAUGCAGGUUCAGUAGGAUGGCUCCAACUAACAUUGUCCUUCAACUAAAUUACUGCAAGAGAAAUGCACGACCAAGGGAACCAAAAGAUAAUCCUUAUACUUAACAUAAAGUUCACUAGAGGAUUCUCCAUGGAUGAAGAAAGUGGAAGCCAAACUUGGAAAACAUACAAGAUGGCUUACAAUCAAUCAAUGAUGUUGCCUAUUAAUAAUAGUAUAUUAUCACAAUUAAAGACAAUUAUAAAUUUUCACAAUCUUCCUCAUUCGCAUGAUAUGAGAGGGAGGAUAAAAAAUCAAUAGAAUUGAAUUCAUUGGACAACUUACUCUCUAAAGCUGACUUUGAAAGCAAGAACAGAACCCGUUUUUGAUUUGUAAAAGUUGCGACCUUUCUUCCGUACUCUAUCUUCAAUCUGUCUUUUCCUCAUGAGUUCGGGGUUGCCAAUGCUAUCUCCAAGAACAGCUCGGAGCUCCUCGUCGUUUUUGCAAGCAUCUUCAAGCACUCUGAAUUCAAUAAAAAGAAUGGUUUAGUGUCGAUAGUCAGUGAGGCAUUAAAACAAACAGAGUGGAAGGAGGGAGAGAAAGAGCGAUAGAGUUUGACUUGGCCCAGGAAGGAUAGUUGUGAAGGCGAUCGAAUUCUCGCCUCCUCUUUUCUUCCCGAAUUUUGAGUAAUCUCCGUCCCCUUGCCGUCGUUCCUGAGACCACCGCACCAUUAUUUUUUCCAUUGUUCAGAGUUUUGUCAUUACUAAUACUAGCGUCGCCAGAAGAAGAAGAAGAAGAAGUGAGCUGCAGACGGCCAGGCAUACGCUUCCUUUGGGUGUGGCUAUGUGCAUUUGGGCAGCUGGAACUCCAUCCAAACGGCAACUUCACUCCCAACCAAAUCGACAUUUUCUAAUUCUGC